rnacentral:lncRNA from 1 species
UUGCAAUUGCAAUAUAAAGGUUUCUAGGGCAUUGAAUGGGUCAUUUUAAGGAAGUUGUUGCACAAGGUUUAGAGAAACUCAACAAGCAUGAGCUAAAUCAUAGUCCAAGAACAAGUGCUCUAAUGUUUCCUCAUACUAACGAAGGCAAAGGAUACAAUCAUAGGUAGGGGUGAAAGUAGGAAUGGAAAUCCUGGAAAUUCCGGUGAAACCAGGAUCAAAUCAUAUCCCGCAUAUAUACUGAUCAAGUAUAAUUUUCACAUCACAGGAAAAUUAGAAUUCAAGGAAAAUCUGGAAAUUCCGAUGAAAUCAAGAUCGAAUCAAAAUUAGGGGACGCUUUUCCUGACCGAAUGGUUGAAUCCCAUUUUUCCCGGCCGGUUUCUUUCCAUUUAGAUUUAGAAAACUACUGAACAGUUUCACUGAUCCUCUGCCUGCUUUAUAGCUCACAUGCGCAUGAAGUGUUGCUGGCUGGUCGAGGUGGGACUAAACUUUGGUGGUGUGCUGUUGUUGCUGCUGCCUUGCCCAUGUAAAGCUAACUAGCCCGUGUGUGCAUGCAAGUGGGCCACUGGCCACGGCCUGCUAGCUAUAAGCCUGCCAUGGACUACAAGGCCACAAAUCCACCAAAGCAGUAGGUUUGGCUCUUUCCUUUUAUUUUCUUUUACAUACAUUUUCCAACAUAUUGUAUGAUUCAUGUAUGAAAUAUGUGUUAAGCCAAAUGCCACAAAUAAUUAUUGGUUCGGACAUUCAAUUCACCGAUCUCCUAUUUUGGAUUAUCAGUUCCCGACCAUUAUCGAUAUGUUUCUGAUCAUCCCAUCUAUCUGAUUUCAUUUCUAUCAUCCUGCCUAUC